CUACGGGACGCUCCAGUGAGGAAUAUUGCACAAUGGGGGGAACCCUGAUGCAGCAACGCCGCGUGGAGGAUGACGCAUUUCGGUGUGUAAACUCCUUUUAUAUGUCAAGAAAAUGACGGUAGCAUAUGAAUAAGCACCGGCUAACUCCGUGCCAGCAGCCGCGGUAAUACGGAGGGUGCAAGUGUUACUCGGAAUCACUGGGCGUAAAGGACGCGUAGGCGGGUUGGAAAGUCAGGUGUGAAAUCCUACAGCUUAACUGUAGAACUGCACUUGAAACUUCUAAUCUAGAGUAUGGGAGGGGGAGAUGGAAUUAGUGGUGUAGGGGUAAAAUCCGUAGAUAUCACUAGGAAUACCUAAAGCGAAGGCGAUCUCCUGGAACAUUACUGACGCUAAGGCGUGAAAGCGUGGGGAGCAAACAGGAUUAGAUACCCCAGUAGUC
rnacentral:rRNA from 1 species